rnacentral:ncRNA from 1 species
AUAAAUUCACUGAACAGGAAGAGUAAUUAAAGUAAUGCAAUUUCAGAGAGCUGAGGAUAGUGUAAUCUCAGUAUUGAUAACUUUAGUGAAUGGACCUGCUAGAAGUAACCCGAACUCAAAUCUUGAGUGUAGUAGUUACCGGAUGCCCACUGUUAAAAGGGCUAGAGUAUUUUAGUACUCGAAAUAUAAAAUAUGCUUAUUUUUCAGCAUAAUUUAGGUGGUACAGCGAAUAUCCUUCGCCCUAAUA